rnacentral:rRNA from 1 species
AUUGAACGCUGGCGGCAGGCUUAACACAUGCAAGUCGAAUGAGUGGUGGACGGGUGAGUAAUGUUUGGGAAUCUGGCUUACGGUGGGGGAUAACGACGGGAAACUGUCGCUAAUAUCGCGUACCAUAGGAUGAGCCCAAGUUGGAUUAGGUAGCUGGUGGGGUAAUGGCCUACCAAGCCGACGAUCCCUAGCUGGUCAGAGAGGAUGACCAGCCACGCCGGUACUGAGGCACGGACCAGACUCCUACGGGAGUGAGCGUUGGGGAAUGUGGCACAAGGGGCGCAAGCCUGAUGCAGACAUGCCGCGUGUGUGAAGAAGGCCUUCGGGUUGUAAAGCACUUUCAGCGGGGAGGCGUUCCCCGCAGAAGAAGCACCGGCUAACUCCGUGCCAGCAGCCGCGGUAAUAC